rnacentral:tRNA from 1 species
GAGGAUGUAGCUCAGUGGUAAAGUGCAUGCCUAGCAUGCAAAAGUCCUGAGUUCAAUUCCCAGUACCUCCA